rnacentral:rRNA from 1 species
UACGUAGGGCGCAAGCGUUGUCCGGAAUUAUUGGGCGUAAAGGGCUCGUAGGCGGUUUGUCGCGUCGGGAGUGAAAACUCAGGGCUCAACCCUGAGCGUGCUUCCGAUACGGGCUGACUAGAGGUAUGCAGGGGAGAACGGAAUUCCUGGUGUAGCGGUGGAAUGCGCAGAUAUCAGGAGGAACACCGGUGGCGAAGGCGGUUCUCUGGGCAUUACCUGACGCUGAGGAGCGAAAGCAUGGGGAGCGAACAGG